GACGAACUGAUGUCAACCUCUCCUUCUCAAUCUCAGCUUGAUCAUCCAAGUGAUUCUGCGCUCAUCUGAGAAGUGAUUGCAUUUUCCAACCCCAGAGCUUUCGAAUGCUUGCUAAUCUAGAGGCCCGAGGGCGUGGUGUGGGGCUGUCCUGUGCUCUGUAACUACAGACCUCUGUCAACAGCACCAGACCAAACCACAGCCAAUUCCAGCGCAGAGCUGUCUUCCACACCACGCUGGGUGUCCUCAGGCCUGGUCUACACUUAAAAUGUAACAAUCGACAUGGCUACAUCACUCAGGGGUGUGAAAAAUGUCUCACCCCUAAGCGCCAUAGCUAUGCCAACUUAGCCCCUGAUUAGACGCAGCUAGGUUGAUGGAAGAAUGCUUCUGUAUACCUAGCUAGAGCUACUCACGGAGGAUGCUUAGCCACUAUGAUGGGAGCCAUGUGAGGACCUGAGCAAAUCCCGUUGACCUUAAUAGAGAUCUUCCAUUGACUUCAAUGGCAAUGGAGCCAGUGAUGGAACUAGGGGACGCGAGGGACACAAGCGUACUAGUGUUCGGUAGAGAGAGAGAAAUAGUAGGGCUGAAGUUUGCCCACGUCACAGUUCCAUUCAAUGCAGGGGAGUGUCAGGGAACCAGUUGCAGCUCCCUGAUCCUGCGCCGUCUGCUCUCUGCAUAACUUAGAGAGCUCCUCAACUGCUCUAACUUAUACCAACGGCAUAAGAUCCCUACCAUCAAUGGAGGAUUGAUAUAUCAGAGUUCUCCCCACAGCAUUGGUCCUUAGUCUGUAGCGGUGUAAUUACUCCUGGGGAAAUUUUGCACCAAAAUAUUAAAAAUUCUGUGCACGAUAUUUUAAAAUUCUGCAUAUUUAUUUGUCAAAGUAAUACAGUAUAAUCGUGCCAGUUUCAAUUAUUUUGGUAAUUUUUUCAAAUACCCAUAAGCAAGUACGUCUGUAACCAAUACAGACAACAACAAAAAAGAUUCGGGAAAUGUUUUUGACAAAUAGAUUCUUUACCGGGCAUAUUAAUACAGAACUUUGAUCAUAAUUCAUUUAAACUACAAUACAGAAAUGUAUUUCCCGCACUGUUGAGAAGCAGUGCAAAGGCUUGGGGAUUUCAGGGGUAAUGAAGGAGCUGAGGGAGAGGGAAGUAAUUGCUGGGAAGGAGCCUGGAAGUGAAUCUGGAGGAUUGGUGGAGGUGGGUGGAAGAAGUAUGGAACAGGUUUUUUGUGCAGAGUGGGGAGUUGUUGGGGAACCUCUCCCUAUGCCUCUCCCAUUCAGUCAGGCACAUCUGCCUCUGUCUCCAUGUGUCCCUGCAUCCCCAGUCCCCAUUCAGCCAUGCAUUUCUGCAUAUGUCCCCAUGUGGCCCUGCAUCCUUCCUCCCCCACCCCCCGUCUCCAUGUGGCCCUGCACCCCCACUUCCUAUUCGGCCCUGGGCUCAAAGUUGUCACCCACUAGCUCCUGUGCUCCCACCCCAGUCUGUCCCUCCCAACUAUCCCUCUGGAACAUCAGUCUGUGUGACCCACCCCAGCAACACCAUGUGCCCCGCUCUGCCCUCCUCCAUAUCCCAUGCCUCCUCACCUGGCAGGGCACUGUGAGGAAGGCAGCCUCUGUCUCCUCCCUCUCCGUGGCUGGUUGCUCUAACCGGUGAGCUUGCUGCCCUCUCUUCUGGCAUCACAUCAGCCCCUAGUGGGUGAAAAGUGUAAUUGCAGUCUCCCUUCACCUCCCCAUCAGAAUCAAUUAUUCUACAGGGGGAAAAAAUAUCUCCGGGAGACACUAAUUCUGCACUUGCGCAGUGGCUCAGAAUUCUCCCAGGAGUAAACUAAUGCUGUAGUUUUCGUAAGGUUCCAUCACAGAAUGAUAAUAAAUAUUCAGCAGUGAAGUGUCUGGUUCUCUACACUGAAGCUGCAAGUGUGAAUUUGUAAUACUUUUAUGUAGAAAAUGAUGUAUGCAUUAGCGUAUUGUUUCUUAUCUUAUAAAGCCAGAAGGGACCAUUGUGAUCAUCUAGUCCAACCUCUUGCAUAAUGCUGGCCAUUGGACUUCCCUGAAUUAAUUCUUGUGUGCAUUAGAGCAAAUCUUUUAGAAAAACAUCCAAUCUUGAUUUAAAGAUUGCCAGUGAUGGAAAAUCCACCACAACCCUUGGCAAGUUGUUCCAAGGGUUAAUUACCCUCCUUGUUAAAAAUGUGCCUUAUUAAUAAUCUGUAUUUGUCUAGCUUCAAUUUCCAGCUUUUGGAUCUUGUUAUACCUUUGUCUGUUAGAUUGAAGAGCCCUCUGUUAUUACAUUUCUAGAUAAAUGAUGCUGAAAAUUUGCUCAUUGCUGACAAGAUGUGUUGGUUUCAGUACUAUGAUGUUGAUAGUUGAGUUAAUCUCUGAAGAUCCAAGGAAGCCAAGUUAAGAUUGGGUGGGUGUUGGAAAUUGCUUGGGGUGACUGAGCCUAAUGCAACCUUCAUUGAAGUGAGAGGAAUGCCUGCAAUAAAUCACUGCGAGUUGUGUCAUGUCCUAGUGAAUGAUUAGGCUCCAAGUCACCAAAAUAAAAGUCAGUACUGCCGAUCUCAAGUGUACAGAAGUAAUGAGUCGCAUCUCAAAAAUCAUGAGUAUUUGAUUUGGGUGGUGUGGGGUUUUUUUUUAAUUUUUCUAAUAUUAAAUUUAUAGGUUCUUUAAAUUUCUCUUCUGGUUUGUGAGCCUUUAGGUCACACUCAGGACACAUUUUCAAUGUGUUUUUUUUUCCAAGUGUGUGGGCUAGAAAUUUACAUUUUAUCUAAAUAAACGCCGGUGGUCACUUGAGUCUAGGAGCUGGGGCUUUAAGAAAAACACCAAAUAUCACAAGACUCUCAAUAAAAUCACAAGGGCUGACAAUGGUGCCUGUGCUUACACACAUGGAUAGUCCCAUAGAAGUCAGUGGGCCUAAUUAUAUGCCUAAAAAGAAGCAUAUGCUUAAGUCUCUUGUUGAACUGCGGCCUUGAACACCAGGAAUUAGUUAUAAACCCUAACUCUGUCUUUCCAGACUUUCUAAUGUUUUUAUUACAUAGGGAGGUGUAAAGCAUUUCCUUUGGAAUUAGCUGAAUUAAGUGUGAACAGUCUUCAAUCCUCAACUAUCUCUUCAUGAUUAUAUGUUUUUGUGGGAGUUAUGGGAGAAAGAAGCCCCAAAAAUAUACACCCAAACAUAUACCAAGGGCUGUGAAAUUAAGUAACAAUUUGCUACCAGAAGAGAACAAUUUCUGGAGGCAUUAAUCGAAGCACAGCAGACAAUAAUGCCAUUAUGAUACCAGCAGCUAGGGACAUGGAGACAG